GAUGAACGCUGGCGGCGUGCCUAAUACAUGCAAGUCGAGCGAACAGACGAGGAGCUUGCUCCUCUGGCGUUAGCGGCGGACGGGUGAGUAACACGUGGAUAACCUACCUAUAAGACUGGGAUAACUUCGGGAAACCGGAGCUAAUACCGGAUAAUAUAUUGAACCGCAUGGUUCAAUAGUGAAAGACGGUUUUGCUGUCACUUAUAGAUGGAUCCGCGCCGCAUUAGCUAGUUGGUAAGGUAACGGCUUACCAAGGCAACGAUGCGUAGCCGACCUGAGAGGGUGAUCGGCCACACUGGAACUGAGACACGGUCCAGACUCCUACGGGAGGCAGCAGCAGGGAAUCUUCCGCAAUGGGCGAAAGCCUGACGGAGCAACGCCGCGUGAGUGAUGAAGGUCUUCGGAUCGUAAAACUCUGUUAUUAGGGAAGAACAAAUGUGUAAGUAACUAUGCACGUCUUGACGGUACCUAAUCAGAAAGCCACGGCUAACUACGUG
rnacentral:rRNA from 1 species